UCCGUAUUCAAAUGUUCAAAUGAUUUUUUCUAAAUGUUAAUCAUUAUCUCUCCCAUGAAGGAUAAAAAUACCAAAGAAAAGGAAAAUUCAAUGAACUUGUAUUCAUUACGCAUCUACUUAAAACCAGGGAGAAUUAGUCCUAACACAGAAUUGAUCAUGCAUGAACAAAUACUAAUUAUUGCAUUAAUAGUGUUUCUGUUUUCAGGUAAAACAAACACACUCAUCAAAGUAAAAUGUCCAUCGGGAAAACAAUUGUACCUGAGGGCAAAGUCAGUUUGUUUAUCUGUGGAGAAAUAUACCUGCUUGUUGGAUUAUGUAAACAACAUUAAUAAAGAAAACUGCAACGGACCAAAAACUGAACCACCUGGCGACAAAACAGUGGUUAACAGCGGAAAUUUUGACACCGAAUCAUGCUUGUUGAUGAGAUUCCAACCCUUUUCUUUUUCUACAUCUCAAGGUAAUAAUUGUAUUUACAAGAAAACAAUGUGUAUUGAAGAAGGACAACUGAUUUAUAGCAAUGGAACUAGUGUAUACGACAGAAAAUGCAGAUGCGAUUAUACAAAGAAUUUUAGUUUUGUGUCGGCAAAAAGAGUUGACAUGUGUUCUUGUGAUCCAACAACUGAAGACUGUUCUUGUUACACCAAACUGUGCAGCAUAGGACAGAUUUUGACGCCUGACUACCAAUGUGUCAAAAUCGAAGAUUCCUACGGAAAGUUUGUUUGUAAAGAUAUUGAAAUUCAAUCAAGUGAAACUAAAGUUGAAAAAUUAAAUGAAAAUGUAUUAACAAAUACAAAUGAAUUGGUCGGACAGAAUGGAAAGAAUCUUGAAGUUUUGAUUGUUUGCUCAGCAGGAAUCAUAGUUGUUGGUAUCCUGUGUAUGUUCCUUAUCCCACUAUUACAUGAAACAGUUGAAAUAUUUAACACAGAUCAAAACACGAAGACAAAAGAAUAUAAAAGUAAAUAUAGAAUACACAAAGCCAAAUUGGAGUCUUACCAGAACAAACCAUAUGAAUUUACAGUAUUAAAAGAUCUUAUUGAAGACAAUAACCAAGCUGACAAAAAAGGGAUGAAAAGACAAAAAUAUCCCCAAUCUACAAACUAUGUCUCGUGAAUUACAAGAAACCCGGGAGUGCCCUUGACAUUUCGGGAAGGGUAAUAUAAGUUCCGGUAUAACAGAAGCAGUUUGUGAAGAUGGAACGAUAGAAAUUUAUGAUUCUCCUAAAAAUACGACAUAUAUUGCGCACACUGAAGAGGAACAAGCAAUACAAAAACUUUUUGAGGAAUAUAAGAGUGAUUACAUUAUUCGUAGAAGGGAAGUAGAGCAUUAAAACAC